rnacentral:rRNA from 1 species
GAUGAACGCUGGCGGCGUGCCUAAUACAUGCAAGUCGAGCGAACGGACGAGAAGCUUGCUUUUCUGAUGUUAGCGGCGGACGGGUGAGUAACACGUGGAUAACCUACCUAUAAGACUGGGAUAACUUCAGGAAACCGGAGCUAAUACCGGAUAAUAUUUUGAACCGCAUGGUUCAAAAGUGAAAGACGGUCUUGCUGUCACUUAUAGAUGGAUCCGCGCUGCAUUAGCUAGUUGGUAAGGUAACGGCUUACCAAGGCAACGAUGCAUAGCCGACCUGAGAGGGUGAUCGGCCACACUGGAACUGAGACACGGUCCAGACUCCUACGGGAGGCAGCAGUAGGGAAUCUUCCGCAAUGGGCGAAAGCCUGACGGAGCAACGCCGCGUGAGUGAUGAAGGUCUUCGGAUCGUAAAACUCUGUUAUUAGGGAAGAACAUAUGUGUAAGUAACUGUGCACAUCUUGACGGUACCUAAUCAGAAAGCCACGGCUAACUACGUG